CCUACGGGUGGCAGCAGUGAGGAAUAUUGGUCAAUGGACGAAAGCCUGAACCAGCCAAGUAGCGUGAAGGAUGACUGCUCUAUGGGUUGUAAACUUCUUUUAUAUGGGAAUAAAGUAUGGUAUGCAUCCUCUCUUGUAUGUACCAUAUGAAUAAGGAUCGGCUAACUCCGUGCCAGCAGCCGCGGUAAUACGGAGGAUACGAGCGUUAUCCGGAUUUAUUGGGUUUAAAGGGUGCGUAGGUGGAUUGUUAAGUCAGCUGUGAAAGUUUGCGGCUCAACCGUAAAAUUGCAGUUGAAACUGGCAGGCUUGAGUACAGUAGAGGUAGGCGGAAUGCGUGGUGUAGCGGUGAAAUGCUUAGAUAUCACGCAGAACUCCGAUUGCGAAGGCAGCUCACUGGACUGUAACUGACGCUGAUGCUCGAAAGUGUGGGGAUCAAACAGGAUUAGAUACCCUAGUAGUC
rnacentral:rRNA from 1 species